CAGAGUUGCAAAACUCCCACAAACCAUCGCGAAUCUUACCCGUACGGUUGCCUCGGCGCUGGCGGUCCGGAGGGCCCUCGGGCCCCCCGGAUCCUCGGGUCUCCCGCUCGCGGGAGGCUGCCCGCCGGAGUGCCGAAACCAAACUCUUGAUAUUUUAUGUCUCUCUGAGUAAACUUUUAAAUAAGUCA
rnacentral:misc_RNA from 1 species